rnacentral:tRNA from 1 species
UAGAUUGAAGCCAGUUGAUUAGGGUGUUUAGCUGUUAACUAAAGUCUCGUGGGGGUGGGUGGGGGUGGAGCCCACCAAUCUAG